CUGUGACUCCUACGGGAGGCAGCAGUGGGGAAUAUUGCACAAUGGGCGCAAGCCUGAUGCAGCCAUGCCGCGUGUGUGAAGAAGGCCUUCGGGUUGUAAAGCACUUUCAGUUGUGAGGAAGGUGGUGUCGUUAAUAGCGGCAUCAUUUGACGUUAGCAACAGAAGAAGCACCGGCUAACUCCGUGCCAGCAGCCGCGGUAAUACGGAGGGUGCGAGCGUUAAUCGGAAUUACUGGGCGUAAAGCGCAUGCAGGUGGUUUGUUAAGUCAGAUGUGAAAGCCCGGGGCUCAACCUCGGAACUGCAUUUGAAACUGGCAGACUAGAGUACUGUAGAGGGGGGUAGAAUUUCAGGUGUAGCGGUGAAAUGCGUAGAGAUCUGAAGGAAUACCGGUGGCGAAGGCGGCCCCCUGGACAGAUACUGACACUCAGAUGCGAAAGCGUGGGGAGCAAACAGGAUUAGAUACCCUGGUAG
rnacentral:rRNA from 1 species